rnacentral:lncRNA from 1 species
GCAAGUCAAGUACUGAACUCCCUAUAUAUACUAGAUUACUGUGUUAUUUUUUUUUUGUCAUCUGAAAGAUUAUAUUAUCACAGGUGAAAUACAGUCGAAACACACCUAAGCCGGCAAGAAACAUUUUUCUUCCGGAGCCAUAAGCCGGCAAAGAUCGAAAUCUUUCCAGAGCCAUAAGAGAAAACUACUAGACAACUAAAAACGAUUUACAAGAAACUCUAAUACAUAAGCCAAAAUCCAAAACAUAAGCGAAGGAGUAGCGUUGAUGAUUGCAGUCCAAAACGCAGAGCACAUCGAUCUCCAAACGAAGGAUAGAGACAGGUCCAAGAGACUUCAUAGAGAGGGGUAGGGAACCUGAAAAAGAUUCCUAUCCAAAGAGCCAAAACAUAAGGGUGGAGGAUCCUCAAAGUUCCCGCAGCAACGAUCCGGUACUUACAUCAGUCCGUCCAUAUAGUAACAUAGGUGAGCCCAAAUGGAUCUUCAAGGGAGACACGAAUACUGAAGCACUCCAAAGAAACUUACACACUGAACAUGGCUAAAUAAGAGUUCUUGUAAACCAUCUAAAACCGAAGAUGAAAUGUUUCUGCUGGAUAGAAGAGCCAAGAAACCUCUGAUGCCUCACUUGAGAGACUGCCAGACCAAACCCGAACAAUGAAGAACCCACAUCUGAACCAGCUAAAAACGACCACUGCGAACCAGAAACCAGAUAAGGUCUAACACUGGCAGCCCAAACCAAGCAGAAUAACACCAUAAGAAACAAGGCAACAACACUGAGUCGACUCAAACGAGCAUAAAACCGAAAAGAAACCGCUCAUACGAACAGGUUAAACCCGGCUAAUAACCAUGAACAAACCAGCAGCAAACACAUACAUCUUUACUAAGGGAUACCAAAAGCUAAAGACAGAGCCAACAGACCGAUAGAAGCUGAAGACUAGGGCCUUCACUCCAACGCCACAGCAGGGCAACCACAACCAACCAGAUUCAACCCUCUUGGAUCUAUAAUCAGCUUUAUGCCACCGACGGAGAGAACACGCCAAGAUAACGAAGACGACCUCACCAAGAACAAGCCAAAACCAACCACAGCUCCACCAAACCACAACGCCAUUGCCGUCGGAGAGAAACCACGUCACCAACCCCCAUCGCCGCAACUCAAAAAUCUACAUGAUUACUAAUAAAGAGAGACAAAGGUGGAGGCCUUCUCCCAGCGCAGCGGAAACCGCCGGCCGGAAAAGGCCUCAGAUCUAGAAUUGUGAUAGAGGCUGCUGUUCACGAGCGAGAGAAAAAACUGAACAGAGUCGGAUCUCUUUCGGUCGGUUGCGCUUGACUUCGUUAUUUCGAUUACUGUGUUAUUAGAAAUACAUUUUUAAUGAAGAAACUCCUCACUUCUCACCAUUUGGGAUAAAAUCAUUUCUCACUUGAUUAGGC